UACGGAGGGGGCUAGCGUUGUUCGGAAUUACUGGGCGUAAAGCGCACGUAGGCGGCUUUGCAAGUCAGGGGUGAAAUCCCGGGGCUCAACCUCGGAACUGCCUUUGAUACUGCAAAUCUCGAGUCCGGAAGAGGUGAGUGGAAUUCCUAGUGUAGAGGUGAAAUUCGUAGAUAUUAGGAAGAACACCAGUGGCGAAGGCGGCUCACUGGUCCGGUACUGACGCUGAGGUGCGAAAGCGUGGGGAGCAAACAGG
rnacentral:rRNA from 1 species